CCAUUUAGAAAAUUUUUACUGUUUCCAUGGCAACGGCGUCCAUUUUGAAAAUUCAAAACUCAAAAGUUAAGUUUACAUAAUCUGGGCAAAAUUUGUUAUAAGUUUCAUUAAAUUUAAACCAUUUUGAAGUUUUUCAUAAUUUUGCUGUUCCCAUGGUAACGGCGGCCAUUUUGAAUAUUCCAAAGUCAACCCCCGCUGCAAUUUUUUCCCUCCAUAAUCAUAUAUACCAUUUAAUGUCACUAGAGUAAAUUUAACAUUGAUGUUCUGGAAUGUUCUGUGAAAAUUCAAAGUUUUGACCUUUUUGCAUUGUUUCCGUGGUAACUACAGAUAUUUUGGAAAUUCCAACGCCAAAUGCCACAUCUUCCAAUGUUGCUCAUCGUUACUGUGAAGUUUCAUGAAGUUUGGAGCAUUUUGAUAUUUUUGAAAUUUUUGGUAUAGUUUCCAUGGCAACACAGUAGGUCCAAUGAGUGCCAAAAUCAUCCAACACCUGUAUAUAGUGGGCACCUACAUUGUAUCGAAAUAUGAUGAUUCUGAGUGUAAGCAUAUUCAAACAGUUCACCAAAACAAAAAACAGAAAUUUUUCACAUUUGUUUCGUUUCCAUGGCAACGGCAGCCAUCUUGAUGGUGCCAUACCCCACUGCACUAUAGAAUGUGGUGGUCUACAUUAUGGUAUAGUUCCAUCAAUAUUGUUCAAGCCAAUUCUGAGAAAUAGUAUGGACAAAAAUGUGUGGAAGAAUAAAUAUAAUAAUAAGAAAAAAAGAAACGAACAAUAACAAUAUGUCACCCCAACUCCGUUGAGGGUGCCAUAAAUAUAGU
rnacentral:lncRNA from 1 species